CCAAGAUUUUAGACGUCAGUUUCUCCCAUCUUCUUUACCUAUUCCGCGCCUCCUUCACCCAAAAGAAAAAAACCCUAAGGCAGCUUAAACCUCAGCUAACAAACCCUUUUAAGUGUACCGCAAGAACUCCAACCAGCUUCAUCCUCCAGAGCGCCGACACCCAUUAAUGCCGGACUGCCAUCAUUUGUCGUCGCUUCACAUCGUGCGUGUCGUUGGCCAUUGCUCCGUGGAAGGUCGCCCCCCUCUUCGUCGUUUGGACUUCCUGGAUUUGUCGACAUCACAGCCUCCGUAGUCACCUGCAACGGCGUCUCUGUGUUCAUCGAUUAGCAAAUCCUCGUCAACGAUUAAUCAAAUGCCUAGAAAACCUCGCUACACCAUUAGUAGUGCAGCCGGAACUGGUGCUGCCCGUGAUUAUGAAACCCGAGCUACUUUGGAUGGAACGACGGAUAUGGGAGGUGAUACUUCAAGUGCACAACGGUGAAAUUCGAAGUAAGUUGGCAGAGUUUUGUGCAAAAAGGAGAAGAUUGGGAGCUGCCACUCUGGACGCUAAAUGCCCAACUGGAGUUUAGCACCAACAAACCCCACAAAACAACAAUUCCUCUGCCUCCUAUGGGCGCUAAAUGCCCAACUGGCGUUGGGCAUUUAGCGCCAGGCAAUCCAAAUUAAAGCCCACACUUUUAGAGCAUCUCUAGUGGAUUUAGCUUUUAUUAGUUAUCUUAUCUUUUAUUUUUGUAAUUUUUAUUUAAAAACAAUAUCUUUUAGUUUUAGGAUUUAUUAUUUUAUUUUAUUUUCAAAUCAAAUCAGGUUAGAUAUAAAAGGAAAAAAGAUUCACCCUUUAGGGGGAUCUUCUCUCUUCCACACUUUUCAGAACCCUUGUUUUCUCUGUAAGUCAUCAGUCACUAAACCUCUUGCUUAAGGUUACGAGCUCUAUUUAUUUCU